rnacentral:rRNA from 1 species
UACGUAGGGUGCGAGCGUUGUCCGGAAUUAUUGGGCGUAAAGAGUUCGUAGGCGGUCUGUCGCGUCGGUCGUGAAAACUUGGGGCUUAACCCUGAGCUUGCGGUCGAUACGGGCAUGACUGGAGUUCGGCAGGGGAGACUGGAAUUCCUGGUGUAGCGGUGAAAUGCGCAGAUAUCAGGAGGAACACCGGUGGCGAAGGCGGGUCUCUGGGCCGAUACUGACGCUGAGGAGCGAAAGCGUGGGGAGCGAACAGG